AACGCUGGUCCCUUCCCUGUCCCGGAGCUGGAAACAGAAUCUGCCUAGAAGGCAAGCGAGCGGUUUCUCGGAGCCGCCGGGCUGGCUGCCUUCCAGCUUCAAAACUUGGCGGGGUGGGCGAUAAGGGAUGCCUGGUCCCGCCAGGGAGGAAGGUGGGAGCGCUACACCUCGCCUCCGGCCCGUGCUGCCGCUCCGGAAAGUACCAAUGGCAUCCAUCCCCUCGGCCUUUGAUCCAUGGCAUCGGAAAAUUGGGUUUGUAGGUAUGGCAACAGAGGAAUUAGUAAAGGAUUUUUCUCACUUGUGCAGGAUCACUUCCACGCCUUAAAGUCAUCUCUUGCUGGAACCAACAACCCUGCCAAAACCAAAGGAUGCUUCUGAUACUGAAAAUAAACCUAAAGCAUUAAAUGAAAAUCAGCAAAAACCACAUCCUAGCAGAAGUGAGCUUGACUGGUGGGGCUUCCUGCAUAGCAGCGUCACUCUAGAUUACUGCACAGAAUUGAAAUGCUUGCACUGUCACAGAAUUGGUGACCAUAAACUUCAUUUAGCUCUCCGUGCCCCACACCUUACCUACGCUGAUGGUGGACAUGUGCCAAAAAGCUACCUUGAUAACCUAAAUAUUGCAAUUUAUACCAAACAUACAUAUUGCAGUGCAGCUACAGAACAACUGCAGAAGAAGCCAGAAGACGACCUGGGUUCUGCAGGGGAACUGCAAACCAUGGCUUGCUGAACAAAUCAAAGCCUUAACUUUGCAGGUUAUUCUGUGUGAGCAAUAGAUUGUACCAGUGUCAACAUCAAACAACUUGCAGGAUCAACACCCACCAGAGGAAGAGCUGUGUAACUAGUGACACCAAGGUGAAACUGAAACUGAGAAAAAUACCUUACUACCAAAUACAGAAGAAAGCAAUGUCAAAGGAAAAUACUUACUCAGUUCUCUGAAAUCAUCACAUACUUUUCAUCAAAAUACUUGGAGGAAAGCCAAUACAGAACUGCUGGAGAAAGCACUGCAGAGAGAGCAUCACACUGUGUACUAAAUAAAAGAGUUGGUGUUGGGCAAAUAAUAAAAAAUCCCAAACCAAAAUGAUGUCUUAUGCUGCCUAGAUUGAACCUCCUGCAGAAAGUGACAAAUCCAGAGAAUUUCUGUUGGAUCCAGCUAAAGUGUUCUGAAGCUGCAGCAUCUGACUAAGAAGAGGAUUUGCCCACCCUGCAAAAGAUGCACUUGCAGUAACCUUCCAUCCUAUCACAGGUGGAACUGACCUUGCACCUUUCACAUUUCUUUUAAAAUUACCCCGCAGAACCUCAGGAAACACAGACCAAGGAGCCAAACUCUGGGGUGUGGGCUGGAAGGACAAAAGCUUUGCAGAUUGUUGCACACCAAGCCACAAUGAAAGGCAGCUAAGCAAGGCUUGAUUUUUAUGUUGACAGUCUACUGUAAUUAGAGGCCAGCCCAGCCCUUCUGGAGGCACUGCCUGGUGGGGACUGCCCUGGAAUAUCCCUUACAUCCCACAGAAAGAACAGAAGCACAGGGGCCUGGACAGAGCUGCAAUGGAAAAUCAUGGAUAUCCUGACCUGUUCCACUACUCCUCAGCCACCCUGGAGAGGGAUUGCUGCAACCAGCACGUGCUGGAUAAGGAUGAGAGAAGCAUGAUGAACUCAAAAAGCUCACAGCUGCAUGGCUGCAGCAGAAGACAGCAUGCCAUUAAUUAACCAGUGGAUACACUACAUUGCCCAAUGUCUAAAUUUACCCUUUUUCAGACAGGCAAGUACCUGCAUCAAGUCAAAAUCUUAGGGAAUACAUUAAACACUGGUAAUAACACAGCAAUAGUACUUAUAACACAUGGCCUUGAUAUUUUAAGAAAUCCAUGGCUUUUCCACUAAAAACUUUGUGGCUGCUACAAUUUCUAAUUCCCACACUACACCUGAGUUAAAAUGUUAUGAGUCUCAGAAACUCAUGAAAUUAAUUGGAGGAGUUCACAGCAUCACAAAUGUGUUUUACAUGUCUAGACAAAUCUGGUUAUCAUCAUGCCCUUCAGAAACAUGUUAUAUAUUCCCAGCAUAUCAGAUUUUACAUAGCAUUACCAUUACAUACGGUCUAACUUCAGCUGACAAACCAGAGAAUAAUGAUUAAAUGGUAAUUUACUUCACUUGUAAGAAAUGAAUUAUGUACAGUUCAAAGUAAGAUACUU